CUUCAUCUUGCGGCUGCUCUUGGCUAUGAUUGGGCCUUACAACCCACAAUAAUUUCUGGUGUAAAUGUGAACUUCUGCAUUGUAAAUGGAUGGAUUGCUCUUCAUUGGGCUGCAUUCUAUGGCAGGUACAGGCUCUUCUAUCUGAUAAAGAAGAAUUGGAGAAAGACUUGAAAAGAUUAAAUGAUAAGCUUACUUCAGCCUCUUUGACUAUAAUGCUAAAGGUGAGCUGUUGAAAAAAAAACAAAAAUCGCUCAGGAAGCAACAGCAGGUAAUAUUCAUUGAUCUGUAUAUUUCCCUUAUCUGUCCCCACUGUUCUGUAAUAUAGGACUUGAAAAAUACAGAAAUAACCAAAUUAUGUGUAAUCGAGAGAAUUUAGUCUUGGGGGGUCACUUUCACGGUGCACCUUCUCAGGUGAAGAUUGCUCUCUAUCCAAAGAAGCUAAUAAUUUGAAGAUCAAACUUGGGCAUGAAGAGAUUAUUAUAUCUCACGGGACCAGCCCUUUUAAUUUCUUUCUCCCUGGUCUCAUUUCUAAGCUUCUAUUUAAUAUUAUAAUAUAAUAUAGUAAUAUGUCACAUGGAACUACCUCUUCUGCCAGUGGUAUUAGUCCAUAGUGAAUUUGUGUAAUAUUUAUAUAUGAAUGAAUACAGAUUUAAUUUGGUAUUUCCUUUGUUGUAUCUCUGAUCUGAAUGCUGUGGACCCAAACACAUUUUGUAUUUCUUACACAUGAUAAUGCUUUCUUUGUUUCUAUGUUAGAUAUAUCUUAAGUACAAGACACCAACACAUUUUGUUCUGAUUCUGAAUACUGGACAUAUCAUACAAUUAACCUAAACACUUAUCAAACUUUGACCAGUCAUUAUCCUUUUGCUUAGUUCUCAUCCUGUUAAUGUGUUUGAAGAAUACAACCUUGUACUAGUGUGAUGCUCAUAGAGAAAGAGAGAGAGAAAGAAAAAAGAAAAAGAAAAUUAUGAGAGAUAGAGCAUUGAAGAGUUGUUGGCAUUUGGGGAGGAUGCAGUCCUCAUUAACGCCAUCACUGGUCAACCUCUUCUAACUAACUAAUGGGGUCUUACCCUCCACUCUCUCCACCAUGGCGCUUCUUAUUAUCUGCUUCUACAUACCCUCCCUCACGCACCUUAUUAGUAACAAAUCAUGCCUCAUUUUCCUUCAUUCCCAUUUCUCAUCACUUACCUUGAUUACUUAUUACUCACACUUUUCAUUUUUUAUUUUUUUUUUGUGUUUGUCUCUUUUGCAGAUUUAGCAAGGUAGACAAGUGUUGAAGGAAAGGACUUUUAAGCAUCUACUAUAUAUAGGAUCGAUGGAGGGAAUUUAGAUCUAUCUAUGGCAUUGUGUGUUUGAGUUUAGAGUUUCUUCUAUCACUUUCCUACUAUUAUAUUAUAAAAUAUAUAUCUUUAAUUAAUUAUCUACUUAUUACUUGUCUACUUUGUGUUUAAGUAUUAGCAUUAGGGUUAUAUGAAUAUGAGUUCUUUUAAUUUCGCCAAUUUACUUCUACCAUGUAAUCUUCUUAGCCACCCUAUAUUAGUCCAAUGAAAACUUUCUUAGCUUCUUGCUAUGGUCGUAUAUAUGGCUUUAAUUUGUGCCUCUCAUCGUUCUUAUUAUUAUUCCCAAGGAAAAAUGAGUUAUUGUAUUAGGAGAAGUUAUAUAUAGAAAUCUAUAUAAUGCAUUUUAAUUAAUUUUACUUUUUCUUAAUGCUACUCGUGAUAAAAUGAUCAUAAGAGAUAAGAUAAAACGUGGAUUAUAUAACAAAUGAGAGUUUACACUCCAUUUUAUAAUGUGAUCUUUUGUUUAUAAUAUGUUAGUUUAAUUAUAUCAAUUUAGCAGGUUUCAGAAAAAGUUGUAUUAAGUACAAUAGAUAUUGAAGUAUGCUUAUACUAUAAAUUAGAUGAAUGAAUCUUCUAAAUAAUUUUUAAAUUUGGUACUUUCAACUCUUGAGUGGAAGAUGAAUCCACCAACAUGCCUCUCUUUCAUUGAUUACAUCAUAAGAAGACUUAAAAUGUUUUCAGUUCCUCAACACAUGUCAAUCUCUUCUUCUUUCUCUCUUAUUAGAUUCCAGGUUUAUUGGUUAUUGUGAUUCUAGAUCAUUAUCUUUCUAAGAGAGAUCAAUUUACAUUUGACAGAGGCACAGAAUACUGGAGGAGUUUGUUUUUCUUUGGGAAAGGGCAUGUACCGUGUGCUUUAUAUUUCUGAAGAUGAAGCUGUUCUCUU